GGAAGCAUGCCCGAAUAACCUAAGGAGUGCCUUGAUAGGGUAUUUUACAAGGGUGGAACCCCCUUUACUUCCU
rnacentral:tRNA from 1 species